UCAAUUUUCGCUUGCUAGGUGUACAUUAUAAUCUGUCUAUUUCUGAGUUUAAUGUUGCUUUGGGAUUUGUUAAUGAGGACUAUUUAGCAACUGAUGACUAUUAUGACUCAUUUCUCGACAUACCACCUGACUUUGAUGCUAAUGAAGCUUUGGCAUUGUUAACUGAAAUGAGACAGAUUUCGUACGAUCCGAAACGUUGCAAAGACAUAGAAAUUCAUAGUCUUGCACUUCGAUAUAUACA
rnacentral:lncRNA from 1 species